rnacentral:rRNA from 1 species
UACAGAGGUCUCAAGCGUUGUUCGGAUUCAUUGGGCGUAAAGGGUGCGUAGGCGGCGCGGUAAGUCGGGUGUGAAAUUUCGAGGCUUAACUUCGAAACUGCAUUCGAUACUGCCGUGCUUGAGGACUGGAGAGGAGACUGGAAUUUACGGUGUAGCGGUGAAAUGCGUAGAUAUCGUAAGGAAGACCAGUGGCGAAGGCGGGUCUCUGGACAGUUCCUGACGCUGAGGCACGAAGGUCAGGGGGAGCAAAACGGGG